CAGCAGUGAUGAGCUGUGAUUGAGUCUGACCUGGUAUUGUCGUCUCCCCGGAGGCGCUCUGACCAGGGCCUGACGACGGUAAUCUUCUCUCUGAGUGG